rnacentral:rRNA from 1 species
GAUGAACGCUGGCGGCGUGCCUAAUACAUGCAAGUCGAGCGAACGGACGAGAAGCUUGCUUCUCUGAUGUUAGCGGCGGACGGGUGAGUAACACGUGGAUAACCUACCUAUAAGACUGGGAUAACUUCGGGAAACCGGAGCUAAUACCGGAUAAUAUUUUGAACCGCAUGGUUCAAAAGUGAAAGACGGUCUUGCUGUCACUUAUAGAUGGAUCCGCGCUGCAUUAGCUAGUUGGUAAGGUAACGGCUUACCAAGGCAACGAUGCAUAGCCGACCUGAGAGGGUGAUCGGCCACACUGGAACUGAGACACGGUCCAGACUCCUACGGGAGGCAGCAGUAGGGAAUCUUCCGCAAUGGGCGAAAGCCUGACGGAGCAACGCCGCGUGAGUGAUGAAGGUCUUCGGAUCGUAAAACUCUGUUAUUAGGGAAGAACAUAUGUGUAAGUAACUGUGCACAUCUUGACGGUACCUAAUCAGAAAGCCACGGCUAACUACGUGCCAGCAGCCGCGGUAAUACGUAGGUGGCAAGCGUUAUCCGGAAUUAUUGGGCGUAAAGCGCGCGUAGGCGGUUUUUUAAGUCUGAUGUGAAAGCCCACGGCUCAACCGUGGAGGGUCAUUGGAAACUGGAAAACUUGAGUGCAGAAGAGGAAAGUGGAAUUCCAUGUGUAGCGGUGAAAUGCGCAGAGAUAUGGAGGAACACCAGUGGCGAAGGCGACUUUCUGGUCUGUAACUGACGCUGAUGUGCGAAAGCGUGGGGAUCAAACAGGAUUAGAUACCCUGGUAGUCCACGCCGUAAACGAUGAGUGCUAAGUGUUAGGGGGUUUCCGCCCCUUAGUGCUGCAGCUAACGCAUUAGGCACUCCGCCUGGGGAGUACGACCGCAAGGUUGAAACUCAAAGGAAUUGACGGGGACCCGCACAAGCGGUGGAGCAUGUGGUUUAAUUCGAAGCAACGCGAAGAACCUUACCAAAUCUUGACAUCCUUUGACAACUCUAGAGAUAGAGCUUUCCCCUUCGGGGGACAAGGUGACAGGUGGUGCAUGGUUGUCGUCAGCUCGUGUCGUGAGAUGUUGGGUUAAGUCCCGCAACGAGCGCAACCCUUAAGCUUAGUUGCCAUCAUUAAGUUGGGCACUCUAAGUUGACUGCCGGUGACAAACCGGAGGAAGGUGGGGAUGACGUCAAAUCAUCAUGCCCCUUAUGAUUUGGGCUACACACGUGCUACAAUGGACAAUACAAAGGGCAGCGAAACCGUGAGGUCAAGCAAAUCCCAUAAAGUUGUUCUCAGUUCGGAUUGUAGUCUGCAACUCGACUACAUGAAGCUGGAAUCGCUAGUAAUCGUAGAUCAGCAUGCUACGGUGAAUACGUUCCCGGGUCU